AUUAUUUUUGUUAAAACAAAAACAUGUUCUUAUCGUUCAUAUCUGAUACGUCCCCAUCGGGGGACUACCUAAUAAAUGGAUUUUUCGCACAGGGGGUCGGAAAUGGGGCUUGUCCGUCCGCUCCACGCAUCGACCGGUAUUUGCAAUACUCCGGGCCCGGUGCAACACUU
rnacentral:snRNA from 1 species